AAUAUUUGACAAUGGGGGCAACCCUGAUCCAGCCAUGCCGCGUGUGUGAAGAAGCUCUUCGUAUUGUAAAGCACUUUAAGUUGGGAGGAAGGGCUUUAGGCUAAUACCCUGAAGUUUUGACGUUACCAACAAAAUAAGCUCCGGCUCACUCUGUUCCAACAGCCGCGGUAAUACAGAGGGUGCAAGCGUUAAUCGGAAUUACUGGGAGUAAAGCGCGCGUAGGUGGUUCAGUAAGAUGGGUGUGAAAUCCCCGGGCUUAACCUGGGAACUGCUUUCAUAACUGCUGAGCUAGAGUACGGUAGAGGGUAGUGGAAUUUCCUGUGUAGCGGUGAAAUGCGUAGAUAUAGGAAGGAACACCAGUGGCGAAGGCGACUACCUGGACUGAUACUGACACUGAGGUGCGAAAGCGUGGGGAGCAAAC
rnacentral:rRNA from 1 species